GAUGAACGCUAGCUACAGGCUUAACACAUGCAAGUCGAGGGGUAACGAGAGGAAAGCUUGCUUUCCUUGUCGACGACCGGCGCACGGGUGAGUAACGCGUAUCCAACCUGCCCCCAACUAAGGAAUAACCUUGCGAAAGUAAGACUAAUACCUUAUAAUUUCCUCAGAUGACAUCUGACGAGGAAUAAAGAUUUAUCGGCUGUGGAUGGGGAUGCGUCUGAUUAGCUUGUUGGCGGGGUAACGGCCCACCAAGGCAACGAUCAGUAGGGGUUCUGGGAGGAAGGUCACCCACAUUGGAACUGAGACACGGUCCAAACUACUACGGGAGGCAGCAGUGAGGAAUAUUAGUCAAUGGGCGAAAGCCUGAACCAGCCAAGUAGCGUGCAGGAUGACGGCCCUAUGGGUUGUAAACUGCUUUUAUACAGGAAUAAAGUUAGCCGCGUGUGGUUAUUUGUAGGUACUGUAUGAAUAAGGACCGGCUAAUUCCGUGCCAGCCGCCGCAGUAA
rnacentral:rRNA from 1 species